rnacentral:rRNA from 1 species
CCAAUAGCGUAUAUUAAAGUUGUUGCAGUUAAAAAGCUCGUAGUUGAAUUUCGGGAUCAAUAUUUCGGUCAUGCCGUUGGUAUGUACUGUUAUUAUUGAUUUCUCACCUUCUAAAGAACCGUAAUGCCAUUAAUUUGGUGUCACGGGGAAUUAGGACUGUUACCUUGAAAAAAUUAGAGUGUUUAAAGCAGGCUCACGCUUGAAUACAUUAGCAUGGAAUAAUGAAAUAGGACAUCCGAUUCUAUUUUGUUGGUUUCUAGGAUCGAUGUAAUGAUUAAUAGGGAUAGUUGGGGGCAUUAGUAUUCAAUUGUCAGAGGUGAAAUUCUUGGAUUUAUUGAAGACUAACUACUGCGAAAGCAUUUGCCAAGGAUGUUUUCAUUAAUCAAGAACGAAAGUUAGGGGAUCGAAGACGAUCAGAUACCGUCGUAGUCUUAACCAUAAACUAUGCAGACUAGGGAUCGGAUGAUGUUAAUUUUUUAAUGACUCAUUCGGCGCCUUACG